GUUUACUCAGGAUAUUCCGAUUGAUCGAGGGGCUGAGCCAGAAGAGGAAGGGGAAAUCGUGCCCGAGCCUUCUUCUCCGGGUUUAAUGGAUGUUGAUGAGUCCAGCUUCACUCAACAGGUGCAAAAAGCGAUGAGUGAAGAACCCCUCAAUGUGGACACUGCCCCUCCUCCGGCCACUACAUCGACCUCACCAACUGCCGACACAGUUAAACUAAAGGAGGUG